AACUGAGAAUGUAACAUAAUUAUCUUAUUUGUUGUACGAUAUUACGUUCACAUUGAUCUUGAAACAUACAACGAUCAAAAUAUAGGACAACGUAAGAAAAAAAAAACCAACAACAACAUAGAAGUUUAAACAGAAUAUAUACAUACAUGACACGGAACAAAGGUCGACGAUCGUCGAGUAAGAACGUUUCACUCUUCAACACGAAGAGUAAGACGAUACACGAAGAGGCCAUACACGAAAAGGCUUCUGUCGUUUGGUUGGCUUCAAAGGGAAUGUAAGAAUCGCUUCUCCUGGAUGUCUAAGAAGAAGUCGACCGACGCCCUCGCAACGGCGUAACAUUUCGUUCUUCAACAAAUGAUUUCUCACAUUCUGCGACAUUAUUGAGCACGCUGUUACCCACGUGGAAACGUAGGCAAAGUCGUUUCAACGUAGGAACUUGCUGCCGCAGGUGCCACGUCGCUGCUCUUUCUCCAAUAAUUUGAUCGUGGGAAACACAUGUGUAAAUUCGCAAGGCUGAUCACGCGACAGAUCUUGGCGAGUAUGUCUAUGCACUUUACCGGUGCAUCCUGUCGAUUUACGAAUAUACAGUACAAGAAAUAUGAGAAAAAUCAUGAUAUUACCUGCAACAACUGUACGUUGGCGUUCACCUCGGAAACGAUUUUAGCUCUCAUCUUGACGCAAACGAGCACUUGUACGCUAACGGAAUCCUCCGAAAGUGCACUCGAAUGAUCGGCGAGCUACAAUCGAUAGAGAUUCAAUUCGACAAUUGAAUUUGAUUUCGCGAAAAGAGUAGAUGUACUCAAAAAAAUUCUAUUUAAUGGUAAGAAUAAAAGAGAUCGAGAGACAUAUAUACAUUUAAUGGAACAAAAACUUCCUCGACAAUAUUUCACAAUGAUACUAUUUUAACGGUAUAUGUUCUUAUUAACGUGCUUUUCAAAAGUAUACAAACUUUAGAUUAUUUUUUUAUACGUCAUUAUGAUCGACGUUCGAUUAUAAUCAGUAUAAUCAUUUUUAUCAAUCAGUACAAAACUUUAAAUCGUAUUAGUUAUAAUUUGUCUCUGUUUAAUCGUAUGAUAUGACAUCGUUACUCCCAUUCGUUCGUUUACAUCCAUUCGAAAAAAUAUCGAAAUCUGUAUUGAUAGUUUUAUAUGCAAUAAAUAUAGAAAUGAAGACGAUAUUUAUGGUUAUGUAAAAAUGUGAUAAAAAAAAAAAAGACUAGAUAGCUAUAACUGCUGCUAGUAUAUUAUACUUUUAAAAAAGUUAUAAAGAAUAUUUCUUUUUUCUGCCUGAUUUUAAAAUUAUCAAUAGAAUUAUCUGUAUAGAGAUAUUUCAUCGCCUAAAAGAUAUACAUUAAUGAUAGGAGACACAAUUUGUCUGGAAAAUAAACAUAUCAAAAAAAAAAGAAAAAGAAGUAUCGAUGAGAUGAGUCAACGAGAAAAUGUCGAUGGGAAGAUAUUAAUGUAAACAUUGUCGAAUAAUAUGAUAGUAAUUUCAACCUUGAGAUAAGAUAGUUCCUCGAGACAAUUGACCACGUCGCCCUUGACCAUUAGAAAUAAAACAUCCAGGUUCCAAGUGUGAGCAAUCAUCUUGGAUUCCUGCAUGACCCAGAGCCUAGCAGUGUGGACCGAGUGAUCGAGCCUGUGAAGAACGACGAUCUGUUCUGAAAUCGGCAAUUCCAUUAACGGCGCGCCGAUCACCCAUUCACCUCCGACCUCGCACUCGUUGCUCAGCGUUACCAGUAAUUGGAAAAGCUCGCUGAACAUUUGACCCGUGUCCGUGCCCUAGAAAAUGGGUAAAGAGAAAUCGUUAAACGGGUUAUAAUUAAAUCCAACGCGAUUGUCAAAAUAUUUGAAAUUUAAAUUCCAUUCCUACUACGGAGUGUAUUAUUAAAGAAAAAAAAAAAAUACAAAAAAAAAAAAGAGAGAAAGGAAAAGGGAGAUAGAUGCAUAUACAUAUUCAUUUUAUAUCCAUAAUACCUACAUUUAACAAAUCGAGAUAAAAUUAUAUCAAAACAAAUUAAAUAGAGUUAGUUAGCGCUAAACACAGAAAGUAAAAGAGAGAGAGAGGGGGGGGGGAGGAGAGGUAGGAGGGCGGGAAAGAUGAAGAGAAAGAAUUUAAAUGCAUAAUAUUAUUUCUAAUGAAAUAAGAUAAGAUCAUUACACGAAAAGAAAUACAAUGGAAAAGUAAUAAAGCUAGUUAAAGUUACUAAGUUGAAAACUGUUAAAGAGAUAAAAAAAAAAAAAGAAAGAGAGUAAGAAAAAAAAAACAAUCUCAAAAGAAAGAAAAAAAAAAGAAAAAAACCAACCUCAGUAGUAGAAGGUCUCGAUUGGCAUUUGAAGGCAGACGUAUACGCUAUUCGAAAUAAUUGGUCCCAAGAUGUGAUAGUAACGUGAUAACCGAGAGCAUCGCAUAAAUUUUGUAAAGCAGGUUUAACUGUCGGCGGAACUAAAAUUUGAUCAUCGAAUUAUUCGAACUCUUCAACGUCAAACGUAUAUUCCAUGAAGUGAUUACGUGCCUCACCCGCAUUUUUUUGAAUGAAUUGUCUCAACCAGUUUUUCAAGUGUUCCGCUCCAUGAUUAUGAUGAGAAGCCAGAGCUUCCGGUGACCACCAUAGAACAACAUGAUCUAACAUCCCCGAAAGAGCUGCCCAAGCUACUUCCUGAUAAUAAUUUUUUACCUUUCUUAUCGCGCUACCUUUUAGUCUCUUUUCUCCUGUAAACGAUUCGAAAAAAUUAAUUAUAUUCGAGUCAAAUAUAUUUCAUUUUAAUCGUUAUAAGUUAUACAGAACGUUUCACGUAAAAUAGUUCGCCUAAUCCAUCUUCUUUAAUUGUCACGAUAUGAAAAAUUGAAGGAAAAUUUCGAAGGAAAUUAGAUCGAGAUAAAAUGUUUUUUCUUUUUUUUUUUUUUUUUUUUCAAUUGGAUCGGGCUCAUUGAAACCACUCAAAUUGGAUAAAAAUUAUUUUUAACGUCUUUACAAUUAACCAAGACAAUUAGAUUACUUGUUUUAAGUGAUACACCCGGUAUAUUAAUCGUACAUCUUUUGCAUUUUUCAUUAAAAUUUCCCUUAGGUCUAUUCUUAAAGUGUAAUAUUAUUAUUAUAAUUAAUAUUAUCACGAAAAAUUUUCUUCGUUGAAGUUAACUAAUAAGCAACUUUCGAUAACCGACCUUCUAUCUUGAAGGGAAAAGUUAAGGAAGAUGCUCUAUUAUUUCCUUGAAAUUAUUUUUAUAAAAAAAGAUCGUUAUUUCAAAAGAAUAAAGUUAUAUAUCGUACCAUCAAUAAUCUUCAAAGCGUCGGAACCAAGUAACUGUGGUGAAAUAUCUUGGACAAUGCUAAGAAGUCUUAGAACUUGUUCAUUCUGAGUAUUCACAAGUGCUUGAAUACUCUCGAGAUUCGAUGGUUGUGUUUGUUGAAAUGUUGAGGCAUCGCUAACGAUUGGUGGCGUCAAGUGUCUCGUGAGAGCUCUAAAAGGAUGUAACGCAAUAACAUGUUUAAUUAUUAAUUCAUCUAUUUUCCAACGUUAAUGAUAAUAUAAACGGUUGAGACCAUUAGAUGUUAACAAACCAACCGAUAAAUCUCGAUGCUAGAAUUCUCGGAAAGGUCAACGUCAUUGGAUGCUGAUGUAACGUCCUCUUUCGUGUGUGAUUCAUAAUUUGCUAAUAGACAAUCGAUUAAUUCAUGACACGUUUCCUCGGCACGAUUUUUCGCCAAUAUCUGCGACAAUUGACAUUAUUAAUUAUUUUUAUUUGAUAAAUAAAUCAAUGAUCAAACUUCGAAUAUAUUCUUACUUGUAAUAUUCGAGUUACGGAAAAUUUCUUCAAAGGUUCUAACAAAGAUGGACAAUCAUUGCAAAAGACAUUAACGGACGUAUCCAAGAUAUCAUGAUCCAAAUCGAGCAUUUUGUUAUAUGCAUUAAUCAUUUUAAAGAUGAUACGUAAUAUCUCGUCGGUUUUGGAAUCAACGAUCUCGCUUAUGAGAUUUCGAGUGAAUUUAGCGACGACAUUAUGUUUUCUUUUCAAUAUCAUAGAAAAGUAUUGCACUUUGUAUUUGUAAAUUGGAUGCGUUAUUUCCGUCAUUUCAUUGAACAAUGAUUUAUAACUUUUCGUUAUGUCUUCGAGAUUAUCGAUGAUCUCCUCGAAUAUCUGCAAUCGUGCGUUUAUUACUUUUUUUUCUUUUUUUUUUUUUUUACAAUAAAAUUCGAUUAUCUCAUUAUAUUAAAAAUUAAAAAAAUCUUACACUAUGGGACAAUAAAACAAGAAACAAAGAAAUAAAGAAAAAAAAAGAGAGAGAGAGAGAAAGAGAGGAGAGUAGGAGAGGUACGAUUGUAGCAAUUAAAAGCAAUAGUUUCCUACCUCGAAAUCACAAGCUUGUGCUUUCGCAACAUCCUCGAUUAUUAAGGCUAUAUGUUCCGCGAGUUUGCUCAUCCUCUCGUUUAACACGGAAGAGUCUGCCAACCAGUUCUCGAGGGCAACUCCAGGAAAGGGUAGCCACUUGGCGAUAUUCGCUCUGUAAUUAGUAUCCAUGCGUUUCCUUGAUGUUGGCUAUUCCUAUGUAUAUACAUAUAACGUUUCGAUUAAUUUCUCCUUCCUUGACAUUCGAGGUAGUUGAUUCCCCUUCUUCUUCUUCGUCUUCUUCUCCUCUUCUUUCUUCUUUUUCUUCUUCGUAAAUCUUUCUCGAUCUUCUCCCGCAUUUACUUUCUUUGUGCAAAUUAGCAUACCAUAUCAAUUAACUUCGCAAUUAUUUUCCAUCGUUAAUUAUUUUUCUCUCGUAAAUAUCGAUCUUCAUUCAUUGUUUCCCCUAAAGGUUCAUUAACUUUUAUUAAAUAAUUAGUAUUUUCUUUGUGAUCUAUGAAAUAUACGAAUGAUUUUAUGAGACAAUAAUAUUCUACUGUAUUUACAUCGUUAGUUACCACGGUUACCUUGGUGCAUGACAAUGUAUUAAAACGUUCUAAUAAUUACGUAUAUAAUUUUCUAGUAAAAUUAUUACUAUAUAUAUAUGUGUGUGUGUGUGUGUGUGUGUGUGUGUGUGUGUGUGUGUGCAUAGGUGUGUUAAAUGUUUGUAAAUAUAUCUUUUUAUUAUAUACGUUUGUAAAAAUUUCUUUAUCGAUCAAACAUCUCUAUUAAAUUCUUUCGUCAUUAUUUGAGGUUAUUGAAUGAUAUUUAUUUAAUUGGAAAGAGUAGCAUAUAAGAAAUAACAGAUAUAGAAGAUUGAUUUAUAAAAAAAAAAAAAAAAAAAAAAAAAAAGAAAGAAAAAAAAAAGACGUUUAGUUUCAAGCAGGUUAGAUCCUUAAAUCUUAGAUAAACUAUAACAUUAUUUGAUAAAACAGUUUUCUCGCGUAAAAUUCUACUUUAUCGACACUACAGUGUACUUCUUACAUCUAUCGGUAAUAUAGUUUGCGACACGAAGAAGUUCAACAAUUUCCAUCGUUUAUUCGCUCUAAGUUACAUAUUGUCUAUGAAUAAAAUAAAACCAAAUUCUAUGUAUAAGUUAAGCCAUCUUUAAAACUAUUGAACGAAGGAAAUCGUAACAAUAAAGGAUUGUUCUAGCAGUAUUUAAAGUGUUUCUGAUAUAAAUUCUUGUAGAACAUUUAACAUCGACAUAAAACUAUGUCGAAUUUACGUAGCACGUUAUACAACAUCUUUUUAAAACGAACAUCUACGUAUGCUCUGACUAUAAUAACCGGAACAUUUUUAUUCGAACGUGCUUUCGAUUUAGCCAGUGACACAUUAUUUUAUACGAUCAACAAAGGAAAACUAUGGAAAGACAUCAAACACAAGUAUGAAGAGUAAAUGGGCUGAUUAGAAAUUUUUAUAUACUAGUUGUAUAUUUAAUAGACAAUUGUUUUCUCUGUGAGAAUGUAAAUAAAAAAGCAAGUGGUACAUAA